AAGCAAUUUGCUCAUAGCCAUAGCUUUCUUGUGAAAGUAGGAUAUUAACCCAGGUGUCUUGGUGCUGGAGAACAGAACUGGCCAGAGUCCAUCCUGUCUCCCACCGGCAUCCCAUUACGAAAUGAACACAGAAAAGGCAGGUCUGCAAUGCCAACAUCUAGUAUCUAUCCCAAAGACCAGGGAGAAAGGAAGGAAAGAUUCUGGUUCUGUCCUCUUCCCCAAGGCAAGGCUGGCUGCCCUACCAACAGAGGCAAAGAGAAGAGUGUGCAAGGCUGGCUGCCCUCCCAACAGAGGCAAAGAGGAGUGUGUGUUGAAAUAUCCAUUGAAUCCCUGAGACAACUGGAUCCUGGCCCAUUGAAUCAUAAACUCAAAUCUCACAUCAUAACCCCAAAUGACCUGUUACUCACCAUGUGGCCCAGCUGUCUUCAAACUCACCAGCCUCCUGCCUUAGCCUUCUAAAUGCUUGGAUUACAGGCAUGACCCACCAUAACUGGCUUUGUUUUAGUUUCAGAGAAGAUGAAACUGAUGUGCGUCAAAAAGCUGGUAGUCUGUCAAGGAAAUGAGCUGAACAUGUCUGUGUACAGCUUUUGUGCCAUCCCUGGAUGAGCGAGCUGUCUGCCUCUAUGUUCUCCACAAAAUGGAAUAUAGCUGUACACCCAAGCCAAGUUAUGGAGGCUGGGAAGACCUAGAAUGUGGCAUCACUAUUUGGUUAUUUAGAAAAUUGUUACCUCAAAAAUGACCUAGGGGUCCUUAGAAUAAUAACACACAGAAGAAUAGCCUCAUUUUUCUGUUGGGCCCAGGAAACCAUGCCGAUUACCGACCGAGCUCUCAAUGGAAAAAUGCAGUCGGCGUGAACCACGCACGAACACAGCAGAGAAAGAAGAAAACACACACCACGAGGAACCCUAAUAGGACAAUACAUUAUAAGCCUCAUGGUACAUCCACUUGGUGUGCUGGGAGAGUCAGGAUGAGGACCUGAGAAGAACAGCAGCUUGAACCUGACUUCAUUUAACAGCCCACUGCCCUCUUGCCAAGAACCCAUCACAGACCUUCCCAGAAGAGAGGGAUGAGCCUCACCUAUGAAUAAGUCCUCAGAAACUCAAAUUUGAUUCUAAUGGAUUGUUUUCUCAGAAAGACUGAGCAUGUCCCCCCACAUCUCUGUCAUUUCCCACAGUAGUAACCUCUGCAGAUGCCACAUAGAAAACAAAACAAAACAAAAAAACAUGAGGUUGGUGGGCAGAUAGGCAGGGUAUAAACAAACAGCCUUGUAACCCAGAAGCUGUGUGAUAUACAGUAAACUUCACAACACUGAAAAGAUGUCCUAUCUGUUAAAAUGGGGUAAUAACAACUACCCGAAUGUUUAGGAAUAGAACUUCAAUAAAUGAUACAUUUUAUAGUACAGCAGACCAUCCUGUAAAGGUUUCAUCCUUCACUGUGGUGAUAAAUAUCCCAAACCACAUUGAAAAGCAUUGCAUCUACAUUUAUCUACACUGUAACUGUACUGUAAAUCAUGGGGGAGGGGAGAAUCAUAAAAACACCACCUGUCACCGUGUCAUUAAAGCAAGUUGGAAGUGAUACUUACAGAAACACAGCAAGAGCACCCCCAGUCACACAGUUCAAUCUCUUAGCAAGCGUUUUCUUUCUAGCCCAGUGGUUCUCAGUUUGGAAUUUUUGGCACUGCCUAGAGAUAGUUUUGUUGUUAAAACUGAGAAAAGAGCCGGGCGUGGUGGCACACGCCUUUAAUCCCAGCACUCAGGAGGCAGAGGCAGG
rnacentral:lncRNA from 1 species